AACAGGGGUGCAGGUGUUUAUCGGAAACUUGCUCUUAAAUGGGCAGUUGCUGAGGAAAGUCCGUCCACCCGUUAGAAAGACUGCCUGCUUAUGCAGGAACCAGUGAUGGUUGGCAACCACACAGAAACGAGACUUCCAUAUCUUUAUGGAAUGAUGCAUGCGAAGUUAUCGGCAACGAUAAUAAGUAAGCUGCUGACGUCGGAUAUGGUGAAGAUGAAACGGUGAGCCCCGGUUGGUGCAAGUUCAUUUGAACGCUAAGUAGAAUACACUGACACUUGUUCAUGGGAAUCUGUGAGAGUGAACAGAAGACGGCUUAUGCGCCCCUGUU
rnacentral:RNase_P_RNA from 1 species